UACGUAGGCAGCGAGCGUUGUUCGGAAUUACUGGGCGUAAAGAGUGUGUAGGUGGUGUCGUAAGUUUGGUGUGAAAUCUCCCGGCUCAACUGGGAGAGCGCGUGGGAGACUGUUGGGCUAGAGACUCGGAGAGGGGUGUGGAAUUCCCGGUGGAGUGGUGAAAUGCGUUGAGAUCGGGAGGAACACCAGUGGCGAAGGCGGCACCCUGGCCGAGUUCUGACGCUGAAGCGCGACAGCGUGGGGAGCAAACGGG
rnacentral:rRNA from 1 species